GAUGAAGAACGCAGCGAAAUGCGAUACUUGGUGUGAAUUGCAGAAUCCCGUGAACCAUCGAGUCUUUGAACGCAAGUUGCGCCUCAAGCCAUUAGGUUGAGGGCACGUCUGCCUGGGCGUCACAUAUCGUUGCCUGAUGCCAGUUUCCUCGUGAUGGGUGACUGUGCAGGGCGAAUGAUGGCUUCCCGUGAGCAUUGUUGCCUCAUGGUUGGUUGAAAUUGAGUCCUUGGUAGGGAGCGCCGUGAUAGAUGGUGGUUGAGUGACGAACGAGACCCAAUCAUGUGAGACCCCUACCGAAUUUGGCCUUCAUGACCCACAUGCGUCUUUGGAACGCUCAUGACGAGACCUCAGGUCAGGCGGGGCUACCCGCUGAGUUUAAGCAUAUCAAUAAGCGGAGGA
rnacentral:misc_RNA from 1 species